CGGUAUGCGAUCGGCGGCGAACGUCACGUGAGCGCCGACCACAAGCAGGAAGUAGAGCACGGGAGAAGCUGAACGCAACAUUCGGUCGAAUGUUGAGUCAGUUCGGCUAGAAUGACAAAGACAAGCGUACAAGUCAGAUCAAAUCUGCAGAGUCAAAUUUAAUUGACGAUAUUUUGACAAGGAUGACAAGAAAACUUGCACCACCAUCCCAAUUUUUAAAGAAAAACAUCGCUGCAAGACGUCGGGAAGCUCGUAAACUACAAAGGUUUCAAACCUUUGUAGGUCUGAUGGGCAAAAGGAACUGAGGGUGCCGACUGCGUUCAAUCUUCCUCCCAACAGAUUGCAGAAAACAAAAAAUAUUCUGCAAGUUUUUUUAAAGGUUAUUUUCUGACGACGUAUGAUUAUAGAUUACUGUAUAUAUAAUAUGCCGUAGUGUACGCAGUCAUUCCAAAGCUCCCCUGGAAAAAGGCUAUGAAGACUGUAUUUGGUGAUAGCGACCUCUAGUGGCGAGCACAUGACGUGCGUCAGAAGACCUCAAAAUGUGUACUGUAACGUCAGGCCACACUCAUAAGAUAAUAAAUGAUUUAUUGUAUGUGUAAAACGUGAGUCAUGUGGUAAAAUGGGAAUAAAGUGGUGUUUUUUUUUCUAUGGGGGAAAAAAUAUUUUUGGAAUAUAUAAAGGCAACCUUUUUCUACAGAUUUUUUUUUAAUUUCCAAAAGCAUUUCACCACUAAAAUGUACCACAGUUUGAAAAAAAAAAUAACUUCACUCGCCACUGGAAAAAGUUGCGUUAUGAGAAUUCUUUUUUUUUUCAAGGAAGUCUACCGUUUUGAACAAUUACAACGCUAUUCUCAUAAGGUCACCCCGCCAACCAUGUUCUUAAUAUUACAUUAUUUUGUCUAGAAAAAAAAUAAUUCACACAUAUGUGUAUUGAAAAAAGAAUUGGCUACUGUGGUUGAUUACAUAUAAAAAAAAACGAUAACAAUAAAAUAUUUAAACUCGCUCUUUUCCAUAAGAAACCACCUCGUCCAAGGAAAAACAACCUUUCAGAGAAGGCACAGUUGAUGCAGUGUCAAAUUGCUGUGCACUCGGUUUGUUUGGGCCUGGGGAAAUUUGCUGACACUUUUGGAAUACCCCCCCCCCCCAAAAGGAAAAAUAUAACAUGCCCAUUGCUCCUUUGCUAACAAAUUGCCAAAACCAGCAAACAGGAGACAAGACGUGAAGCGGCUGAGAGGAUUCAGAAUAUGUAACGAGCAAUAUUUUCUGCAACAGGUACGAUGACCUAUUUUUGAUUUUCAGUUGAUUGUAAAUUCCAAAAAAUGAACAGAUAAUUUAAAGAGUACAGUAUGCCCUUGCCCAUUCACAUCCCUGCAAAUUCCUGGGUUUUGCUCUCAAAGUUUUUUCUGUUUUUUUAAAUGUACUGUAUUUUCACGAUCGUAGAGGUCUUAAAUUCAUUUCUAAAUAGACGAGGCGCCUUACAAUGUGCUGCACCUUUAUGCUCAUGCUGAGUUCCAACAUUUGCAAGACUGACCAAUAAGGUACCUGGUUACACUGUUAGCAUGCAUGCUAGCAUGAGUGUUAGCAUGUACAUAAGCAGCCAUAUGAUGGCGCUCACGAGGCAGGGAGGAACAUUUGCAUUUUACAUUUGUAAGCAGAAAAAGGUUACAUUGCCUCACACAUUGCUUGUAUAGCGUAACAAAAAAAAUAAAACAGAUAAAAAUGACUCACAAAAUAACCGACACAAAACAUGCACUUUAAACACUAUUUACAUGCUCCCUAAAUACCUCAAUAGUGCCGCAAAGCAUGCUGGUCAAGCCACACAUAAGGUAUGCUUUCCAUUUUGGGGAAAAUGCAAGACUUUAGUGCAUAUUAUGGUUGCAAAAAUAUGGUACAUAUCAUAUAUAAGCUGCAACCGGCUGGCAACCAGUUCCGGUUGUACCCUGCCUCCUGCCCAACGACAGCUGGCAUAGGCAUAUUUUCCACCAAUGACAAUUAGCGCUAUAGAAUAUGGAUGGAUGGAUAAAAAAAAAAAAGCAACUUUCAUCUCCUAAGAUCAUGGCUUUAUUCACACAUUUUCGUGGCCCUAAACCAUUUUCGGGUUCCACAACGCAGCCACCUGAGUCUGUCAUAUGAUCACAGGUUUAUUAAGUGACUUUGUACAAUACAAAUGAAAAAUAACAUUAAAAAUACAAGAGGAGUACAUAGCCAAAAGCAAAAAAAAAAAAAAAAAGAAAAAUGGUGUUGACUCUUCAUUUCCCACUGGCAUUUGAACGUAGCAUGACUGGAAUAUAUUCGGGGUUUUUUGUCGUUAUUUUCUUAAUCUAUUUUGCGGGGUGUGUUGAUUAGAAAACUUAGUGGAUGCAGCUCUCUCUCAUCCGAGUUUUUUAAUCUUCUUCUACAUGUACAAAAGCAGGUCUUACUUCAAGCUGGCUCGGUAUAUAUUUGUAUAUAAAAAUAAAACUAAAGUGAAAUAUAAUACUUUGAACAUUAUAGAAAGGGUGGUCCAAUGCUUUCGGGAGAUGGCUAAACACGGAGGGAUGGGGAGAGAGAAAAAAAAAAUACACACGUUCACCUGCAGAAAUAAUAAGCUUAAGAUAGGACUUGAGUCUAUAAAGAGGCCCAAGUCCCAAAAAAAAAAAAAAAAGUUGUUCUUGGUAUUUUCUUCCAUUUUUCACUGAAAGAGCGAAAACUAAGAUUAAUCUACCUGCGUCAAAACAAGGAAGAGUGUCCACCUUUAUUGUACUGUAUAUUCUUAUUUGUGUCCUGUAAACAAAUGCGAUUGUACAACAACCCCCCCCCCCAAAAAAAAAUAAAA